GUGCACCCACUUCCUUUCUCCAUAAUCCAAAUAGAUUAGGUCUUGUCAAAACAUUAGCAACUCCGCCACAUGGCUCACGCCGUCUUUCCCGAGUUACUGUUACUUACGGAGUACAUGGUGGAUAUGAUGAAAUGCGAAGGUUGUGUUAGUGCUGUCAAAAAUAAGUUGAACGAGAUAAAUGGUUGAAGAUUGGAAAUGAUAUUAUUGCAUGGGAUAUUGUUCUCUCUGCUAUUUAUUUCCACCUUGUACCCUUUUUAUUAUUUGUCAGUUUCUUUACCUUGUGGUUGUGUGAUUAUCUCUUUAUCAAAACGCCCUCUGUACAGAAAAAUACUGAGUUCUUCGUCACAUCCUCCCUUAGAGCAAAAAAGAAAAAGAAAAGCUUGAAAUUAGAUGUCCAAGUGAUAAAAGCAAUAAGGACAAACUGUGUCAGCUAAAUGGAUAAAGAAUUGUAUAGUUUCAAUAGUUUCUGACGCAUAUAAUUCUGAAACGUUUUAGUAGUCAAUUAAUUUGAUAAAAAAGUUUACUCCUA